rnacentral:lncRNA from 1 species
GAGCACCCUCAUAGAAGCAGGGAAAGGGGAGAUGUGAUAGGGGGUUUGCAGAGGGGAAACAGUGAAAGGGGAUAACAUUUGAAAUGUAAAUAAAUAAAAUAUCAAAUAAAAAAGUAAAGAAACUAGAAGGAAAAAAAAAAAGAAAUCCCAAAGAUUGUAAAUUCCCACUCUCUCCCUCCUUGCUUAAAAAAGAUUCAAAGAAAAUGAGCCAGCCUGUGGUCACUAUCUAGUUCACACAUAAAAACCAUCUCAUCUAAUUGGUGCCAUGCAUUGUAUCUCCCCCACUGUCUCCUCCUGCCCUCUUCCAGAUGUGCAGGAUAUAGGCACACAGGAGAAUGGUAACGCUGAUAGGGUGGAAGACACUAUCACAGCACUCAACUCAGCCGAGGAUGCCUGAGAGAGCAGCCGUGGACCCCUACCCAUCAUGAGUCGGUUCUUGUCCUGUGUCCACUCUGGCUCAUGUUCUCUGGCAUUAGUAUCACUAGUGCAAUACAUACUAGCAAUGUUAGUUACUUGACCCAUGCACUUAAGUUCUGACCAGUCAGCUUGAAAUCUGAACAAUGCAGGCCUUUACAGCAUCCUUUUGGACCAAGGAAAAGAGCCCAUCUUUAAUCCUAACAGUGAGUUGUAAUGAGCAGCGUUGCCUCAUCUCUAGCCUGCAUAGGUGGAGACGCUGUGAAAGGUGAUAAAAACUCUGGGACUUUCUCUUGGUGCCUUUGGGUGAUUAUGAGUGUGAGAAAAGCUCCCCCUGCCUCGUCUUUCUCCUACAGUACUGACUUCAGCUUUGUAAACAGGAAGGCUGCUGAGAUUGGCAUUCUCUUAUCUCGUGAUAAGGCCCACAGGCUGAGUGCACAGCAGUCCAGCUCCUCUGAAUGAAAAAAGAUAGCACAUAUGUGCUUUACCCCACAACACAGAAAAAUUAAAUUUAAAAAAUAAUAUUUUAUGUCUUUAAGAACGUUAUACAGUGUAUUUUGACCACCUCCUCAUGGAUACACUCCCACAUUCCUAGUCACUUUUCAGCUUCUUGGUUGGUUUGGUUUUUUUCUUUUAUUUAAUUUUUUUACUGGUUAUUUUAUUUGCAUUUCAAAUGUUGACCCCUUUCUGGUUUCCCCUCCACAAACUCCCCAUCACACCCCCACUUUGCUUCUAAGAGGGUGUUCCUUUAGCUACUCACCCACUCCUGCCUGAGCACCCUCGCAUUCCCCUUACUCUGGGGUAUCAGGCCUUCGCCUUCAGAGGACCAAGGACCUCCCCUCCCACUGAUGCCAGAUAAGGCCAUCCUCUGCUACUUAUACAGCUGGAGCUGUAGACCCACCCAUAUAUACUCUUUGGUUGAUGGUUUUUGUCCCUGGGAGCUCGGGGGGUGGGGGGGGGCUGUCUAAUUCGUCAAUACUGUUGUUCUUCCUAUGCGGUUGCAAUCCCCUUAAGCUCCUUCAGUCCUUCCCCUAACUCUUCCAUUGGGGUCUCAGGGCUCAGUCCAAUGUUUGGCUGUGAGUAUUUGCACCUGUAUUGUCAGGUGUUGGCAGAGCCUCUUAGGGGACAGCUAUACCAGGCUCCUGUCGGCUUCUUGGCAUCCGCAAUAGUGUCUGGGUUUGAUGUUUGCAGAUGGGAUAGAUCCCUAGGUGAGGCAGUCUCUGGAUGCCAUUUCCUUCAGUCUCUGCUCCAUUUUUUGUCCCUGGGUUUCCUUUAGAUAGGAAUGAUUCUGGCUUAAAAUUUUCUUUUAAGCCCAUCAAGUCCAAUGUGUUUGCCCAGAGCACUUUAGGGACGGGGCCUACUCUCGGAGCAUGGUUGAUGAUCUAAGGAUCACCACACUUAAAGGAGAUUGGCUGUCUCUCUCCCAGCACUUACUAGCUGCUGCUAGCUGCUGGGAUAGGAAAAAAUAUUUUAGUAAUAUUUAAUGAGGCCUUAUACCAGAGUGUGCACAUGGUAUGUGAUGUUAGGGAAGGAAAAGCUAGAUGUUUGACAACCCAGCAAGGCUGACUUCAUUACUUUGUUCCUUUUCCACAUGUUGCAGUAUACUGAAGGUGACACAUUCACAGAGGGGCUUAAAUAGAGUCCUAUAAAUAAGCCUGUUUGAUUGCUAACAAUGC